rnacentral:rRNA from 1 species
UACGUAGGUCGCAAGCGUUGUCCGGAUUUACUGGGCGUAAAGAGCGCGCAGGCGGCUGGUCAAGUCCGAUGUGAAAUCUCCCGGCUCAACUGGGAAACUGCAUCGGAAACUGAUCGGCUUGAAGAUGGGAGAGGGUAGUGGAAUUCCCGGUGUAGAGGUGAAAUUCGUAGAUAUCGGGAGGAACACCAGUGGCGAAGGCGGCGACCUGGGUAGAUACUGACGCUGAGGUGCGAAAGCGUGGGGAGCAAACAGG